rnacentral:rRNA from 1 species
GACGAACGCUGGCGGCGUGCCUAAUACAUGCAAGUUGAGCGAUGAAGAUUGGUGCUUGCACCAAUUUGAAGAGCAGCGAACGGGUGAGUAACGCGUGGGGAAUCUGCCUUUGAGCGGGGGACAACAUUUGGAAACGAAUGCUAAUACCGCAUAACAACUUUAAACAUAAGUUUUAAGUUUGAAAGAUGCAAUUGCAUCACUCAAAGAUGAUCCCGCGUUGUAUUAGCUAGUUGGUGAGGUAAAGGCUCACCAAGGCGAUGAUACAUAGCCGACCUGAGAGGGUGAUCGGCCACAUUGGGACUGAGACACGGCCCAAACUCCUACGGGAGGCAGCAGUAGGGAAUCUUCGGCAAUGGACGAAAGUCUGACCGAGCAACGCCGCGUGAGUGAAGAAGGUUUUCGGAUCGUAAAACUCUGUUGGCAGAGAAGAACGUUGGUGAGAGUGGAAAGCUCAUCAAGUGACGGUAACUACCCAGAAAGGGACGGCUAACUACGUG